GUAUGGAUUGGAGUAUGGCAAACCUAUUCUUCUGGGCCUCUCAUAAUGUCACAUGUCAAAGCAAACCAUGACCUUAGCCUCUGAACACUGAUGUGAAUUGCUCAGUG
rnacentral:snoRNA from 1 species